AGAGUUUGAUCAUGGCUCAGAGUGAACGCUGGCGGCGUGCCUAACACAUGCAAGUCGAACGAGAACGGAUAUAAGUUUACUUAUAUUGUCAGCUAAGUGGCGCACGGGUGAGUAAUAUAUAGUUAAUCUGCCCUGAAGAAGAGAAUAAUUGUUGGAAACGACUUGUAAUGCUCUAUAUGCCUUUAUCACAUAAGUGGGCAAGGGAAAUAUUUAUAGCUUCGGGAUGAGACUGUACGGUAUCAGCUAGUUGGUGAGGUAAUGGCUCACCAAGGCUAUGACAUCUAACUGGUUUGAGAGGAUGAUCAGUCACACUGGAACUGAGACACGGUCCAGACUCCUACGGGAGGCAGCAGUGGGGAAUAUUGCACAAUGGAGGAAACUCUGAUGCAGCAACGCCGCGUGGAGGAUGACACAUUUCGGUGCGUAAACUCCUUUUAUUAGGGAAGAUAAUGACGGUACCUAAUGAAUAAGCACCGGCUAACUCCGUGCCAGCAGCCGCGGUAAUACGGGGGGUGCAAGCGUUACUCGGAAUCACUGGGCGUAAAGAGCAUGUAGGCUGAUUAGUAAGUUGGAAGUGAAAUCCUAUGGCUCAA
rnacentral:rRNA from 1 species